GGGGUGUAGCUCAGUUGGUUAGAGUGCCGGCCUGUCACGCCGGAGGUCGCGGGUUCGAGCCCCGUCACUCC
rnacentral:tRNA from 1 species